AAUCAGCUCUUUCCUGCUGUUUAGGUUCAACUUGACAAUUUUUUUACCAAAAUAGUGUACUAAAUUGUAUCUAGCAUUGGUGGAACUGGACUGAUCAAAUCUACAAACAGUGUAGAUCAUGUUUACUAGUUUAUGACCUCUAGUUUCGACUCCCAAGUUGAUUUUGCCACAAGAUGAUAAGUUUUAUGCACCUAAUAUAGAUUUGCACCUUUCGCUGAGUAAUUUAAGAGCAUUUGACCUAACUAUAGUUUCUUCUCUAGGUGAAAAGUUCCAUAUUCUUUAUUCAUGAAACUAUUAGCCCUUUUUGAUUUACCUUAAUCCAUAUCAAGAAUUACCGAUUAAUGAGUAUUCUUGUGAUUCCAUUGAGUUUUGAUAUACCGCAUAUUGUUAGUUUGAAAAGCUUUUAUUAUUUUUGAUUGAUUUUUAUUUGCAUUGAUUAGUAUAGGAUUUCAUGGUUCGAACUAAAGUUUAGGAGAGAAUUGACAGUGUUUUCGUGUAAUGAUCGUUGAUAAAUGUGAAAGAUCAGGGAUGUGAAUCAUAUGGGUGUGAGUCGUUUUCAGAAAAUUUAUAUUGGUUUUGAUAUACUUGAAUGCUUAGAAUGAAAGGGUAGGAUUAGAACGAAAGGAUGUAGUUGUAAUUUUUUUAUACUUUUACUGGGGCGACAGCUCCAACUAAUCACUGGAGAUAUGAGUUACUCUUCUUUAGACAUCUGGGAGGGGGCGUCUUUUGAUAAGAAGGGAGUGAGAGACUAAAAUUGGAAAGGGAUUUCAGAAAUUAAAAGAGGGAGGGGAAGGAAAAUUGAUAAGUUGGAAAUUCGUUUGAUUUCUGUGCUUGGUAUCAGGUUGGAUUGUAUUGGGAUUGAACUUCUUCAGGUGAACCGGCAGCUGCAGAGGACGGAUUCGAGAAAGGUGAAUGCUAUCUUUGGAUUGAGUGAGUUCUUUGUAUCUUCAAUAAACAAAAAGAAAGAAACAAUGUGGUCUCAGGUGGAAGAUUCAAUCUGAGAUUUCAUAAGGAGUUACUGCAGCUGCUAUUGCUACUCAGGUAUGGUCCUCUGCUUUACUUAGUUUUUUGUUUUGGGUUGAUUUUAGUGAAGUUUAGAUUCUAUUUUGUGUUUAUACCAUGAAUAAAGUUAUGUUUUGGCCAUUGUUAUAGUUUAUUCAAGCAAUUUAUCUCAUGAUGAAGUAUUGUACAAUUUGUGUAGGGUUAUGGUAUGUUUCAGCAAAUAUUGGAUGUUAUAAACAUCUUUACUGUACUAGUUACUAGGGUAUCAUAUAAUAAUUUUGAUGUUCUGUGCAUAGGUUACUGUUUAUUCUUUAUAUGGAUGGUGUAGAUGAACUACUGUGCAAGUUUUGACAUGGAUAUUGUCGUCUUUAGGAAUCAUAAUAUAGGGUAAUCAAAUAUGUCUUCUACCGUUGAUAAGGAGUGGAUGAGUUGUACCCGUAAUUCUGGUAAAUACAUGCAAGGUGUAAGCUUAUUCAUAGAGUUUAUCCGUAAAAAUGGUGGUGACAGUAUGGUGUUCUCCUGUCCUUGUAAACACUGUAAGAAUGGUAGAGGAAUGUUUCCACUUAAGAAAUUAGUUAUCAUUUGCUUAAGAAUGGUAUUGUCCCAACGUAUACAAUGUGGCGUUUUCAUGGUGAAAGAUCAGUUAGGGCAGUUGCUGAGAAUGUGGGAAAUGUGGCAGAGAAUGUAGGAAAUGUAGAUGAGAAUGUAGGAGAUGUUGGUGAGAAUGUUGGUGAGAAUGCUGAUCCUAGUGUAGGUGAGAAUGUUGAUCCUAGUGUAGAUGAGAAUGCUAGGCCACACAGUGGGGUUCACAAUAAUGUUGGCGUCAGCAGCAGCAACAAAAGGUCUUUUUAUGAGCGUGCAAGAGAACCAUUGUACCCAUCAUGUCCUAAAGAGAAGACUGCACUAUAUGCUGCUAUAAAAUUGAAUAACAUAAAGACCCAAUAUGGAUUCUCAGACAAUGGUGUCACUGCACUAUUAGAAUUAAUGAAGGAGUUGCUUCCGGAAGAUAACAAACUGCCGUCUAAGUAUCAUGAUGUAAAAAAGAUGAUCCAAGAACUGGGGAUGGAUUACAUAACCUAUGAUGCUUGCGUUAAUGACUGCAUUUUAUACUGGAAGGAACAUGCAUCACUGGUAAAGUGUCCUGUUUGUCAAGAAUCUAGGUAUAAGAAGGUAUUCAAUGAUGAGAGGAAACUUACGCAAGUUGCUCAAAAGACUUUGAGACAUUUUUUGUUGAUUAAGAGGUUGCAAAGGUUUUACAGCAUUCCGUGGAUAGCAGAGGCAUUUUAUUGGCAUCAUAGAGAAAAUUCAGAUAUGAAUGUUAUGCGCCAUCCAGUAGAUUCUUCAGCUUGGCAAUAUGCAGAUAACUUCUCUCCGGAGUUUUCUAAGGAGCCAAGGAAUGUGACACUUGGGAUUUCGACAGAUUGCUUCAAUCCGAAUGGGUGUUUCGGACUUGGUCACAGCUGUUGGCCGGUUAUUUUAUGUCCGUACAACCUUCCUCCAUCGAUGUGUAUGAAGCGAGAGUUCUCGAUGUUGUGUUUGUUGAUUUCAGGACCAAGAGCACCUGGUAAAGACAUUGAUGUGUAUUUACAGCCAUUGAUAGAUGAGUUGUUGCAGUUAUGGAAUCAAGGUGUUAUAACAUACGACUCUUACACUAAAACUGAAUUUUUGAUGAAAGCAAGACUCUUAUGGGCUAUUAAUGAUUUUCCGGCAUUAGGAACUUUAGCUGGGUGUGUUACACAUGGAUAUAACGCUUGUCCAACAUGCGGAGAAGGGACAGUUUCUGAAUAUCUUCCGUAUAGUAAGAAGAUUUGUUACAUGGGACACCGAAGGUGGCUGCCAGCGAAGCACAAGUAUCGAGAUGAUAGAACACAUUUCAUUGGAGGGGUAGAGCAUGGUUCAGCUCCAUGGCCACUAACAUGGCUGCAAAUUCAGGAGAUGGUAACAAAUAUUAGAACCAAAAAGGGUAAGGGCAAGCCGCCAUCAGCAGCAAGUCUGAAACGUAAAAGGAAAGCUGAGGUCGAGAAUGAAGAUGUUGUUGAUGUAGAAGAUCAGGUUCAUGACCAUUCACUAUUCUCUAGAAGAUCUAUUCUUCAUGAUUUGCCAUAUUGGGGUUCAAAUGCAGUCCUUCAUGUUACAGACGUUAUGCAUACAGAGAAGAACAUCACUGAGCAUCUCAUUAACACUGUUAUGGGUAAUAGCAAGUCAAAAGACAGUCAUAGUGCACGUAAAGACAUGGAAACCAUGGGGAGUAACAAGAAAUUAUGGUUGAAAGUAUAUGAGUGACCGGUAAAACGACAAUGGAAGAUGGUACUUUUGCCAUGACAAAGGAGAAAGUUGCGUUUUGUACUGUUUUGAAGAACUUAAAAGUUCCUUCUGGUUUCUCUUCCAAUCUCCGCAGCAGUGUCAGCAUCGAUCCUCCCGAGCUAAAGAAUUUCAAAUUCCAUGAUUACCAUGUUGUCAUGCAACAUUUGUUUCCUUUGCUGGUUCAUACGCCGACUUCACUACGUAAAGAUCUACGAGUUGCUCUUCAUCGGAUAAGUCUAUUUUUCAGAAUUUUGCGCGCGAAGGUUAUUAACAGAGAACGUCUUUUAAGAGCAAAAGCUAGUCUGGUGGAAGCUAUGUGUAAUCUGGAAAAGCAUUUUCCUCCUUUUUUUCCUUAUCCGUAUACACUUGAUGGUGCAUCUGGCUGAUGAAGCUCUAGUCUGCGGUCCGGUCAGGUAUAGGUGGAUGUACCCCUUUGAGAGGUUAAUGAAAGGUUUCAAAGGUUUGGUACGCAAUAAAAGGUAUAUUUAUGGCUGCAUUGCAAGAGGGUAUACAUUGCGUGAAGCCAGCUUAUACUCUAUGGAGGACCUGUCAACUGAUGGUGAUGGUACUCAUAAACAUACCCGACAAGCCUUUUUAGAUGAUGAUGAUGAGUUUGCCGAUGAGAUGCCUUUGAGUAAAGCUAAGUGUAUAAAAUUAACUCAAGUACAGUUUGAGCAAGCUCUCAGGUGGGUUCUGUCUAAAUAUGUUGGAAUAGAGGACUGGCAAAGGAAGUAUGAUUCCUAUGUUAACAACGCCAAUAAUACCUCAAAGAGUUUCCUUUUUUGGUUGCGCGACGAGUUGUUAGAAGCCAAAGUUGGAAAUUCUGUACUUUGGCGCCUAGUGCAUGGACCUCAGUUCAAGGCACAAUCAUAUAAGAAAUACCAAUUAAAUGUCUUUACUUUCUCUGCACAUAGGUACGAGGAGACGACGGUAUCACAAAACAGUGGUGUGUCUAUCCGAGCAUUUACGAGGCAAAAAGAUUCGGUGGAAACAGAAAUUACAUAUUAUGGAGUUAUUAAGCAGAUUAUUAAGUUGAAUUAUAUGGAAUUCGAAGAAACAGUUUUUUAUUGUGAUUGGGUCAGAGUUCAAGAUAGGACUAAUGGGUGCAAAGUUGAUCCUAACUCAAACUUGAUUUAAGUUAACUUGUAUAAGCUUCAAAGCAUCAAUCAAGUUGUGGAUGAGCCAUUUAUUCUUGCCUCUGAAGCGACACAAGUGUUUUACUCGAAGGAUAUUUCUGAUGAGGGAUUGUCUGUGGUCUUACAUUCACAGCAAGGCUUAACUUCCUUAGUGGAUGAAAUUGAAUAUCCUACUAAAUAUCAGUCAGCUUUUACUGACAAUGAGAGUUUAGAAAAAUUUAUGUGUGUCGGGUCUGGAGUUUAAAAUAAUGUAUGCUGUCAAUGCAAUGUGUGAAAUUACUACAGCUUCUGUUAAAAUUUGUUUUAUCAUUUAUGCAAACUUAAUAGGUUCUGUUUUGUUUGAGAAAUUUGAUUGCGCUGUUUCUGCGUAUGU